AAUAUAACUAACUUCCUUCCUUCCUGCCUUCCUCCCUCCCUGCCUUCCCUUCCUUCCUGCCUUCCUUCUUCCUUCCUCCCUUUUUUCUUUUCUCCCUUCCUUCCUUCUUAAUAUGUUUUUGGCCUUUUCUUUAUAUAUGUGGCCUAGCAAUAUCCUGUGUUUGGAAAAGUAUAAACCUAAGGCAUCACCUUUACAGAAAAUAUCUUCCACGGAAACAUCUAAAGUGAGGAAGUAAAGUUGCAUUCACAGGCCUUGAACUUUUCCACAUCUCGAUUUUUACCCAUCAUCUCUGCAUAGUUCCCUAAGGCAGCCUUCAAAUGGUGAUGUUUCUUAUAAUCCAGAGUUCAGAAGUGGCUUCUCUUCAAUCUUUCUGUGGAAUUCUAAACCACGUGAUAAAGGAGCUGGUGGCCACAGAUCAGCCCUGGGGUUCAGAGGGAUCCUGACAGCUACUCCUCAAGAUCCUCUCUGUUGUGAUUCAUCCCCCCGGGGCCCUACAGUUUCUCCUUCCUGACUCUUACAUUUCUUUGGAUGGCAUCAUUAUUUACCUGUCUCCUCCCAUAGUUAGGUGCCAAGCACUGUGGAUUCUGCCUCUCAGUGUCCAGACACCCAUUUUCCUUCCCACUGUUCCUUCCCCAUGGAGAAGCCUGUGGCUGGCUGACAGCAGAGAGAGAUGCUCAACUUGGAGAAGGUGUUACCUGGGCCAGGUGGGGAAGGUUUGUUUGCAGAGCAAAGAAGUGAAGCCUAUUCAACGUGAAAAAGAUGAGGAUGAAGACCUUUAUUAUGAUCCACUUCCAAGUAAUGAACACACUGGAGAAAGUCAGACAGUCAAAACAAUGUCCCAGACUCCGUGAAGUUCCUGGGUAGAGAAGGAGACAGACAUAUACCAUACCUAAUAAUUGGAUGUCCGAGAGAAUGAGAGAAUGGCAGAAAGAACUUUAGAGCAUGGGUAUGAUGGCUAGAGCUUGAGCAGCCAUUGUGGACAUCAGAUGAACUUGAAAGUGAAAACUAUGAGCUGAAUACGACAAAGCAAACAGAUAGAAAACUGGAUUCAUUAUGACAUUGCAAAGCUGCCAGACCAGCUCUAGUCUGCUUCCCCCUAAUCUUCCUUACUAAGAGAGAGAAAUAAACUUCCAUCUUCUUCAAGCCACUGCUGGUGCAUCUGACUACUUACUAGAUGGUUGCAUUUUGAUUUCCCAGAGACAUCUUAAGGUCAACAUGUUCAAAACCAAACAUCUUCCUUUCUUAAGGCUGCAUCCCACCCGGUUGUUGAAGUCAGAAACCUGGAUUCUACAUUCUCCCUUAACCCCAUAUCCAAUUAAAGCAGGCAGAAUAAUGGCUCCCUCAAAGAUGUCCACAUUCUAAUCCUCAGAACCUAUUAAUAUGCUACUUCAUAUGGCAAAGGGACUUUAUUUAUGUAAUUAAGGUAAAGGUCCUAGAGACGGGGAGGUUGUCUUGGAUUACCUGGAUGGACCCAACUUAAUCACAUGAGUCUUUUAAAGUGGAAGAGGGAGGCAGAAAGAAAAAAGAAGAGGCAGGAGAGAUUCAACGUAU
rnacentral:lncRNA from 1 species